rnacentral:other from 1 species
AAAUCCCUGGGGCGCGCGUGACGGCUGUCGUCGCUGGCCUCACAAGCAUAACAUACGGGAACUGCCAACGACACGGUGUGCAUGCUUGCCUUGUUCAAGAAGCCUGAAGUUCGUUAACAUGUUCCCACCGUAGGCGUAAUAGGUCCUGCGGGAGGGCAGCCGCACGGCACACCCGGGGGUAUC